AGCUGCUUAAUGCAGCUAGUCUCCUCUAGACAACCCGCACUCUAGAACGAGACUCCGACUUAGCGGGCAACGUCUAGGGCUAAGCUUUGCCCCCUAGCCGUAUCUAUGAAGCUACCAAAGUGAACAGCCUGUCUCUGGGCGGUUCAUGGAGGGAAUGUUAAAACAGUGACUAUGAUGGUAGAGACCACGAUUUAUGGGCUUUCGGACAGGGGUUCGAUUCCCCUCACCUCCAUGU
rnacentral:tmRNA from 1 species